rnacentral:lncRNA from 1 species
AUGUCAUAUGAAGAUGUCCUACAUUUGACCUUUCUGUGGAAGAGAGAUAACCUGAAUUUCACUCUAAUAUCUGUUUGUCUGAAGAUACUAAGCAACCACAGCUUUCCCAUUCUCACCUUUCUCAUCUGGAAUAUUCUUGUGUCUUGAGAAUAGCAAGUGUGGCCUUCUGCUUAACCAUAUGAGCCAACAAAGCAGUUCACUCCUCCCCAGUGGUGAAUCAUCUUUUGACAUGAGUGAUUCCCUUAUGCAGAAGGAACAGCACUUUUUAAGCACUGGGAUUAUCUGAGUGUAUUAUACCAAGGUGCACUGGAGAGAGAAGCAAGUGCAGCAAUGCCUGGGCACUGUUCUGGGAGAGCAUUGCAUGCAGGCAGGCACAAUCCAACCAUGCCCACCUGGGCAGGUGGCAGUAGUUGACCUGCCCAUCUAACCACUGAAAUCUCUUCCUGUACUCUCUUUUCCAUAAAACUCUUCUCACACACCCAAACACACUGCUGGGGUGCCACUUUUGUAGCUAAUGAGCUUGAUGACUGAGGUGGAUUGAAUCCCCACAGAAAUCCUUUGAAGUGCAUCUCCCUGUCCCUUGAGCAGGUAUAGAAAGAAAACAUCUUCACCAUGCACUGAAAACCAAAGGGGAAAUUCAUAACACCACCCUGUGAUAUCCACCUGUCUUUCUGUAAUCACUGGCUUUCACACUGUUCUUCUCACCUUAAUCAUGG